AUUGAACGCUGGCGGCAUGCCUUACACAUGCAAGUCGAACGGCAGCACGGGUGCUUGCACCUGGUGGCGAGUGGCGAACGGGUGAGUAAUACAUCGGAACAUGUCCUGUAGUGGGGGAUAGCCCGGCGAAAGCCGGAUUAAUACCGCAUACGAUCUACGGAUGAAAGCGGGGGACCUUCGGGCCUCGCGCUAUAGGGUUGGCCGAUGGCUGAUUAGCUAGUUGGUGGGGUAAAGGCCUACCAAGGCGACGAUCAGUAGCUGGUCUGAGAGGACGACCAGCCACACUGGGACUGAGACACGGCCCAGACUCCUACGGGAGGCAGCAGUGGGGAAUUUUGGACAAUGGGCGAAAGCCUGAUCCAGCAAUGCCGCGUGUGUGAAGAGGGCCUUCGGGUUGUAAAGCACUUUUGUCCGGAAAGAAAUCCUUGGCUCUAAUACAGUCGGGGGAUGACGGUACCGGAAGAAUAAGCACCGGCUAACUACGUG
rnacentral:rRNA from 1 species